AGCUCAGUGGUCGAGCGUUGGCUUUGGAAGCCACAGGUCGGUGGUUCCAAUCCACC
rnacentral:tRNA from 1 species